rnacentral:lncRNA from 1 species
CAAUUAAUAGUACAAUUCAUACACAGAAAUCUUGCUGUAAACUUUCCAAUCAUCAGAUUGAUUCCUUCUGGCUGUCAUAGCCUUAUCAGAUCACGGGGUGAUCUCAUCGUAUAUAUUACGAUUUAGUUCUAUAUCUUGAUCGUUUUAUUUUACGAUCUCUCAUAACUGCACUUUCAGUCUUUUAGACUCAAUCUAUUCCCCACUACUGUUUAACUUUAUAAUCAGAGUUAGGGAACUCUAUGUCUUUACACUCGCCGAGAUUCAUCUUUGAAUCUUAUCGACCAACUAACUCUAUAUGAGUUAAUAUUUAUCCUAAUCAUUGCGGUUAUUAGUCUCAGGUAUUCCUACCUAAGCUUCAUAACUAACAGCUUUGAUACCAACUGUGGCAUCCCCAGAUCCGGGUCCCGAAUCGCCGCGGAUCCGGUUUGCUAUUUCUACAACUGUUGCGGAAGAUAUAAACAUAAAUUGUUUAUACAUUAAACUUUAC